GACGAACGCUGGCGGCGUGCCUAAUACAUGCAAGUAGAACGCUGAAGGAGGAGCUUGCUUCUCUGGAUGAGUUGCGAACGGGUGAGUAACGCGUAGGUAACCUGCCUGGUAGCGGGGGAUAACUAUUGGAAACGAUAGCUAAUACCGCAUAAGAGUAGAUGUUGCAUGACAUUUGCUUAAAAGGUGCAAUUGCAUCACUACCAGAUGGACCUGCGUUGUAUUAGCUAGUUGGUGGGGUAACGGCUUACCAAGGCGACGAUACAUAGCCGACCUGAGAGGGUGAUCGGCCACACUGGGACUGAGACACUGCCCAGACUCCUACGGGAGGCAGCAGUAGGGAAUCUUCGGCAAUGGACGGAAGUCUGACCGAGCAACGCCGCGUGAGUGAAGAAGGUUUUCGGAUCGUAAAGCUCUGUUGUAAGAGAAGAACGAGUGUGAGAGUGGAAAGUUCACACUGUGACGGUAUCUUACCAGAAAGGGACGGCUAACUACGUG
rnacentral:rRNA from 1 species